CCUAAUUUACUUUUCUGUGUAUAUACCUUCCGCCGUUUCAUUUUUUGCCUUCACUUUUGCUUGGCUUCUUCUCUGUAACACAUGCCUCUGUUUGAGAUGGUGCUUCGAGCGUGACGUGCUGGUGACAAAGAACCGAAACCCUUCUAGUUCAAUUUCGCCCAUGUCCCUCAAGAAGAUACCUCUCCCGUCGUUACUUUCUCCCAUCGAGAAAACAUAGAGCCACUAUCAAGAUAGAUUCACUUGUUGUCACAUCUCUUCAACUUGUGAAAUGAAACUAAAAAGUUAAAAGUUUGCUUUCAGUGCUGUGUAAACAAGUAUAACUAGAAGAAUAUGAAAGAGUUGCUUCUCUACUUGAUGAGGAGAGGAAGAGUAUGCUACUUCUAGUUGAUGAGAAGGUCAAACCUAUGUUGUUUCAAGUUGGCAAAUGGAUAUGCAAACUGAAGUAUGACAAUGUGCAAAGGCUACUUGAACAAGUUUUGAUGUGGAUGAGAAACAAGCCCUUGCAUUUUAUCAUAUCUAAAUGUAUUUUAGUGACAAUAUUUGUAGAGCUCAUUAUUUACUUGAGCUGAACAUAGUUGUACAUUAACGUGAUUUUGUAACAUUUGAAUGAAAUAAUUUAUGUGUCUUGGUUUAUUUCAAAAUGUAAUUAGAAUAAACUUCUUU